ACUCCCUUUUGAGAACCACUACAGUGAUUUUAAGCUGUUAAAUCGAGGUUGUCUCCAAUUUCUCAGAAAAAUAAAGAAUGUUGUGGUGACCUUGUUCAUGCUUCUUGUCCAUAUGUACCAGGGUCUUCCUGGGGUGUGUAUCGAGAAGGAGAAUUCUAGGUCACAAAAAGAUCCAAGGAGGUGAAGACUCAGACAUCCAAAUUAAGACCGCAUGGCAAGAAAUUGACCACCUGAUUGGGUGCCCCUCCUCAGCAUCACAUGGACUGUAUUCUAAGGGAAGAUUUUGCCUUGCCUUGUGGCCCUCCAGCCCUACCCUUCAGCUCUAUUUGUUUCUUUUUUCUUUCAGAUAAAGGUACUGGGGAUUGAACCCAUGACCUCAUGCAUGCUAAGCAAGCAAUCUACUACUGAGCCAUACGUUCCCCGUUAACCUUCCCUUUUGAAGACCCAUGGUGAGGACAGGAUCCAGGACACCUGGAUCAGAGCCACUGCUUCACCAAGAAGGGACCUGUUUUAGUGUGGCCAGGAGGGCCACUGGAAGGAUGAACGCCUCGUGUAUGGAAAAAGUCCACUGGGGCCCUGCCCAAUAUGCAAACAAGAAGGCCACUGGGAGAGGGAUUGCCCCUAGUCCCAAAGGGGGCUUGAGGCUUCCAAACCAUGAUGGCUGAGAGGACCGAAGACUGAUGGGGCCUGGGAUCCUUUCUGGCUCCCAAUGGACACCUUGUCAUCUCUCUGGAGGAGCCUCGGGUAACCCUUGACAUGGGAGGUAAGAAACUUGUCUUCUUAUUAGAUAUGGGAGCCGCCUACUCUGUGCUAACUGAUUUCUCUCUCUCCCUCUCUCUCUCUCUCUCUCUCUCUCUCUCUCUCUCCCCCUGCUUCCAAGAUGGCCCGCAUUCUGUCUAUGGGGUGUGUAGAAUGUCUCUGGGAUUGGGGUGAUGGCAAGUACACUGUAAGGAUGGGGAUAAGUUAAACAACUAAUUAGAAUACAAGAUGGAAUGAAGUGAAUGUCAUUUACUUCAAAGGUGAAGUGCUGGAGGCUACAAUAAAGGAGAGAUUGAUCUACUCACAACCUGGAAUUGGAACUGAGGACUUGAGUACACUGACCCAGCCUUGAGGGAGGCCUUCUAGGAAGCAAAAGUGAUUACAGUUAGUGGCAAAUAGAUGCU